AGAGUUUGAUCCUUGCUCAGGACGAACGCUGGCGGCGCGCCUAACACAUGCAAGUCGAACGAGCAAGAGAGAGCUUGCUUUCUCGAGCGAGUGGCGAACGGGUGAGUAACGCGUGAGGAACCUGCCUCAAAGAGGGGGACAACAGUUGGAAACGACUGCUAAUACCGCAUAAGCCCACGGGUCGGCAUCGACCAGAGGGAAAAGGAGCAAUCCGCUUUGAGAUAGCCUCGCGUCCGAUUAGCUAGUUGGUGAGGUAACGGCCCACCAAGGCGACGAUCGGUAGCCGGACUGAGAGGUUGAACGGCCACAUUGGGACUGAGACACGGCCCAGACUCCUACGGGAGGCAGCAGUGGGGAAUAUUGCACAAUGGGGGGAACCCUGAACGAGCAAUGCCGCGUGAGUGAGGAAGGUCUUCGGAUCGUAAAGCUCUGUUGUAAGAGAAAAACGACAUUCAUAGGGAAUGAUGAGUGAGUGAUGGUAUCUUACCAGAAAGUCACGGCUAACUACGUGCCAGCAGCCGCGGUAAUACGUAGGUGGCGAGCGUUAUCCGGAAUGAUUGGGCGUAAAGGGUGCGUAGGUGGCAGAACAAGUCUGGAGUAAAAGGUAUGGGCUCAACCCGUACUGGCUCUGGAAACUGUUCAGCUAGAGAACAGAAGAGGACGGCGGAACUCCAUGUGUAGCGGUAAAAUGCGUAGAUAUAUGGAAGAACACCAGUGGCGAAGGCGGCUUGCUGGACAUUAACUGACGCUGAGGCGCGAAAGCGUGGGGAGCAAAUAGGAUUAGAUACCCUAGUAGUCCACGCCGUAAACGAUGAGAACUAGGUGUUGGGGGAAUAACUCAGUGCCGCAGUUAACGCAAUAAGUUCUCCGCCUGGGGAGUAUGCACGCAAGUGUGAAACUCAAAGGAAUUGACGGGGGCCCGCACAAGCGGUGGAGUAUGUGGUUUAAUUCGAAGCAACGCGAAGAACCUUACCAGGCCUUGACAUCCCUUGCAGAGGUAUAGAGAUAUAUCCGAGGUUAUCAAGGAGACAGGUGGUGCAUGGUUGUCGUCAGCUCGUGUCGUGAGAUGUUGGGUUAAGUCCCGCAACGAGCGCAACCCUUGUGAUAUGUUACUAACAUUGAGUUGAGGACUCAUAUCAGACUGCCGGUGAUAAACCGGAGGAAGGUGGGGAUGACGUCAAAUCAUCAUGCCCCUUAUGGCCUGGGCUACACACGUACUACAAUGGCGUCUACAAAGAGCGGCAAGCCUGUGAAGGCAAGCGAAUCUCAUAAAGGACGUCUCAGUUCGGAUUGAAGUCUGCAACCCGACUUCAUGAAGCUGGAAUCGCUAGUAAUCGCGAAUCAGCAUGUCGCGGUGAAUACGUUCUCGGGCCUUGCACACACCGCCCGUCAA
rnacentral:rRNA from 1 species